AUUUAUAUAGUUUAAUAUAAAACUUUAUAAUUUCAAUAUAAAAUUAAUUUAAUUAUUUAUAAAUA
rnacentral:tRNA from 1 species